GACCGCAACGAGUGGCUCGGACGGCAGGCGCGGGUGCUCGGUCGCGGGACCGAGUGGGGUCGGGCCGGGCUCCACGCUGAGCGCGGCCCGGAGCAGCGCGAGUCGCAGCCCGAGUCCGAGGCGGAGUCCCUACCCCUUGUACACGCUGUACGCGCAGCGGGACUACAGCCGGUCGGAGAGCUACGGGCGGUCGGGCCGGAGCCGCGGACACAGCCCCGCGUACGCGUGACCACCGACCUCGCACGAUGGAGUCUAACAGGACAGACUGACCGAUCGGUGUACGGAGCUGUCCCGCGCCACUCGUAGCGUUACGUCAAUGAUCUCACCGUCGCGUGUUGGUGCGUGAGCGGCACCAUCAACACCAGCGACGACAACAACGAAUACUCGAUAUCGUCGUAGGUUAACGAACAAUCGACGGAUCAGUGCCUACAAGCUAACGGAGGAGUUUUAGCUAACUUUUCUGGAACUUUGGGUGUACAGUGGAGAGUGUAUUCAGUGGACAUAUGUUGGGGUAACUGUUUGUUGCAAGCUUUUAU